UACGUAGGGUGCAAGCGUUAAUCGGAAUUACUGGGCGUAAAGCGUGCGCAGGCGGUUUUGUCAGUCUGACGUGAAAUCCCCGGGCUCAACCUGGGAAUUGCGUUGGAGACUGCAAGGCUGGAGUCUGGCAGAGGGGGGUAGAAUUCCACGUGUAGCAGUGAAAUGCGUAGAGAUGUGGAGGAACACCGAUGGCGAAGGCAGCCCCCUGGGUCAAGACUGACGCUCAUGCACGAAAGCGUGGGGAGCAAACAGG
rnacentral:rRNA from 1 species